AAAGAUAUUUCUUUUACUAAACUAAACUGACAUAACUGGUAAACAUUAUAAUGAAAAAUUACGAUUAAUCUCCAAUCAUUACCAUAAUAUAUAUCAUACUUUUUUACACAUGUACAUACGUAUGCUUCUCAAAAUAGAAUCCAAAUAUAAAUAACCGUCUGCCACUCCACUUCAACCUCUUCCAUCCAAUCACGACCAUCAUUAACCCUUAAAUCCCAUUAAAUCCCCUCCCUCAUACCAACUCUCAUCGCACACUCUCACAUCGGAAUCUCGCCUCUGAUACAAAUAUCAAAAAGCGAGGCGUCUCAAGGCCACGUUUAGAACCGCCUCGAUUUUUCCAACUGCACCUACGGCUAGGUAGACAGAUCGAUUCAUAGCAAGUGUGUGCGUGUGUAUAAAUGUGCGAGUGCGUGAAGUAUCUACAGCCGCUUCCGACGUCGUAAAUCAAGAUGACCGAUUCGAGAGAAGAGGCCCUUAGCUCGGUGUGUAUCUGCGACCUUCUCGCUCCCUCUCUCCGCGAAAUAAUCGACCACGUUCCUGCGUUCCACGUCUACACGGGAGCGUGUCGAGGAUGCUGGCCCCUUGGGCGGGCAAGGCCAGUGACCAGAUCGACCAGUAUCUGAGAUCUUGUGUUCAACUUGGAAAAUACAUGGAUUAUUAUUAAGAAUUCCUGGCUACCGUCCAACCAGUAUCGUGAGAACGGGGUCGAAGGAUUUUCCAACCUGAAAAUAAGAAGAUGAGAAUGAAAAAGAAGAUAGCCUUGGAAGAUUGUUUCUUCUUUGACAUGUGGAAAGUGGACAAAUAGGAUGCAAUAACAAUAGUCAAGAAUAUGUCGUAUAUUGGUAGAAGCGGUUUACAUUCAUGACAGGAACAAUGUGAUUGGGAUUUGAUGGAUAUGGAACAGACUUGUAGAUCAAGGUUUGGGAAUAAAGAAGCUAUUUAUGAAUAGAAUGAAAGAAAUGCUUAUAAUACAGAAAUCUCAAAUUUCUAAGUAAGAAAUUUUAGAUAAAUACUCUUAAAAUUGUGAAACAUCAAAAAAAAAAAAAUUAAUUAUUUUUAAUCAUUUUAAAUUCAACGAACCAAUAUUUUUUUGAUUUAUGUAUCUUGAAAUAAAUAAUAUGAAUAAUGAUGUAUUAUAAUAUUCAUGAAAUAUCCUCAGAAAGUUAAUUCUAGAUAUUAAAACAAACACAAAAGUUGAUAUAUAAAAAUUCAAUUGCACUAAACGAUAGAAUUCAUAAUAAAGCAGCAAAUAUACAAACAAAAAAUUUAAAAAAAAUAUACUGUUACUUUUCAUUUUAAUCCAAUCUUCAAAUCCAAGAAUACAUAACCUAACUUAACCUAACUUCUGUUGCGCGUACAUAUAUAGAGCCGAAGACAAGUGGUCAUGCCGAGUUGUAAAUCGCCGUCUCUCAGGUCUCGCGUGUUAUCUGGUCAUUGGAUGAAACAGCACGCGGAAUA